GACGAACGCUGGCGGCGUGCUUAACACAUGCAAGUCGAACGAAGUGGCGAACGGGUGAGUAACGCGUAAUCAACCUGCCCUUCACAGGGGGCCAACAGUUGGAAACGACUGCUAAUCCCGCAUACUGAAGGAGGGGAUUGCGUCUGUUUAGCUCGUUGGAGGGGAAACGGCCCACCAAGGCGAUGAUCAGUAGCCGGUCGAAGAGGAUGAUCGGCAAAAUUGGGACUGGGACACGGCCCAGACUCCUACGGGAGGCAGCAGUGGGGAAUCUUCCGCAAUGGACGAAAGUCUGACGGAGCAACGGCGCGUGAGUGAUGACGGCCUUCGGGUUGUAAAGCUCUGUUAAUCGGGACGCGGUACCGGAAUAGAAAACCACGGCUAACUACGUGCCAGCAGCCGCGGUAAUAC
rnacentral:rRNA from 1 species